UUGUCCUUCUUACUCUUCCUGGAACAAAGGCCUGCAUGGAGCCAUUUGCACUGAUGCUUCCAAAGAUGAGGGUCCCAAAGCUGUAAGAGAGAAAACUACUUGAGCAGAGGCCCUGGCUGGGCUGGUGGCCCCAAGGCUGACUGCGGUGUGUGCUCCUCCCUCAGGAGGCCAUUGCCUUGCUUGACAUCUCCUGGGCAAGUCUCCACGGAACCUCUUAUCAAGCUCCAAAGUCAUCUUCUUCCACAAAAAUGUCACAGAGCCCUUUCAUGGUAACAGCUGCAUGUGCCUAUUAAGGUGUGGUCAAGUAUGAAGCAAACCCCUUUAACAGG